rnacentral:lncRNA from 1 species
AUGCACCGCCCGCCACCGCCGAGAGCGUCCACCCGCCACCGGGAGGCCGCGGGUGUCACACGGGGGUCCGGCUCCCGGGCUGCGGGGCCCAGGCCGAGCCCUCUCGGUUCCCCGGGAGUCGACGUGGCUCCUCGGCUCCUCGCGGCCUGCCCGUGGGAGCGAGGAGCCAGGCCCCCAACGCGCUUGCUCAGCUCGCUCCAAGGCUGUGGCCCCCAUCGCUUGCCUUUUGCUCUUGCAGUUUCUUGCCUCUUCGGGUACAGAAGACUCGGGAAGCGGUUGAGUCAGGACCUAAGACCCGACGGGGUGGGACCCGGCCGCGGAGCGCGGAUUCUCGGGGUCACGUCCGGCCUGGGAGCCACGGCGCGGUGGAGGGGCAGCUGGGGGGCAGCUGGACGUGGGGCAGCUGGGGGGGGGGCAGCUGUGGGGGCAGCUGGAGGCUGUAGCUGGAGGCCGCAGCUGGAGGACACAGAUGGACGGGGCAGCUGGAGGGGGCAGCUGGAGGAGGCAGCUGGGGGAGCAGCUGGAGGGAGCAGCUGGGGGGGGGCAGCUGGAGGGGAUAGCUGGGGGGCAGCUGGAGGCCGCCCCCGGACGCCGCCCCCGCCCCUUCCCCAGCCGGGGCUGCGAGCUGCUGCCCGCGAGGCCGGGACGGGCACUUGCAGAAGGCAGAGGCCUGCCUGCGCAGCCUCCCCAGACCGCGGCCGAGCCCGGCGCGCCGGGGGCACAGAGGCGUCAACCGCCCCUAGAGGGGGGCGCAGGCUCCGAGGGCCUCCUGCGGUGCUCAGCACCCCCCACCCCCCCGCAGCCCGGAGGCCGGGCCGGCACCCACAGGCGAGGCACCCACAGGCGAGGCGCCCGCUGCAAAGGUUGGGGGACUCCCGGGAUGUGAGGCCAGGGACUUUCUGGAAGCUUUUUCCCGACCGCCUGCACCCGACGCCAGGGAGCUCGCAGCGCCCUCUGCCGACGCGGGGCGGGGGCUUCAGCCGGGCCGGAGCGGGGCCGGGAGCGGGGCCGGGAGCCGGGCCGGGGAUGGGGGCGCCUCCCGAGCACCUCCCGUCGCGCGGCCCGGCCCGGCGGCUCGCAGCGUAA